rnacentral:lncRNA from 1 species
CGUGAUGAAAUAGUGCACGGGAGGGCCCCAGGGGUCUUCCUCCAACAUCAAAACUAGAAAGUCGCCAUAUGACCUAUUAUUGUGUUGGUGCGACGUUAAACCAAACAAAAUAAAUAAAUACAGGGUUGAUCAGUGCUAAGCAUAUACAUGUUGUCGACAUGUUCUGGUAUAUUCAGAUAUGAUUUGUCGUAUUUUACCUUGUCCUAGCAACGAUCAUAGUCUAGUUUGUGCAUAUCGUGGACAUUUUCCUGUUCGGUGUUUUCAUUAAAGUUAUAGCCAUUGAUUCUGUGAUCUGUGUUACUUCUCCUGUACUAUACCACUGGCGGAGUUACACCAAAAUUCAUAGGAGAAGCCGGAAUGAAUGUGUGACCAAUUACAAAUUUUGCGCGUUUAUGGCAGAAAUAUCUUGUAUACUAGUAUAUAUUUACCAGGGACCAUAUCCGUAUCCGGCUGAGAGAAUAUCGACACAUAAUUCUUUACAGAUAAAUUGACUUCGUUUAGCGAACGAUUUGAACAGGGACAAUUGUGAAAGUAUGUAUGAAGAAAAUACAGACUGGAUAAGAAAAAUGACCUUUAAUGUGACCAUGACUUUUUAAUUAGGGGUCUGGGUGCUACGCAUGGCACAUUAACUCAUUAUGAGGAAAACGUGUGCCAAUUUUGUAUUAAAACCUCUUGAUGGUCGGUAGAGGUAUUAAGCAGACACAAAACUGAUACUACUAGUAUUUUCCUUUAACCCCUAGUGUGACCUUGACCUUUGAGCAAUGGAUCUGGGAGAUGCGCAUGACACGUCGUCUUUAUUUGGGGAAGACUGUGCCAAGUAAUAUUAAAAUCCAUUGUCAGGAAAACAACUGAAGACAUUUUAGUUUGAAGUGUGACCUUUACUUUUAAGUUUGGAGUAUGGGUAUUGCACACGACACAUUGUCUCAUGAAGGGAAAUAUUUUGCCAAGUAAUAUUAUAAUCCCUUGAUGGAUGGCAGAGUUAUUGACCAGGACACGAAACAGACCCUGUUAAUACCAGUUAACCUUUGACAUUAAAGUGUAACACUGGCCUUUAAGCUUGGGGUCUAGAAGCUGCGCAUGACAUGUCGUCUCAUCAUGGGGAACAUCCAUGCCAAGUAUUAUUAAAUUCCAUCGAUGGAUUUUUGACUUAUAGACAGGACAAGAAAAAAUCCCUGUUGUCACUUUUGACCUCUAAGUAUGACCUUGAGCUUUGAGCAGGGGUCUUGGUGCUGCACAUGACUCGUUUCAUUAUUGGGAAAAUGAUUCAAGUAAUAUUAUAAUCCUUCAAUGGAUGCCAGAGGUAUGGACCGGACGCAAAAGAGUGGACGAACAGAAUGACGCAAUGUCGAAAAGAAGAUCACAAUCCUGAAGAGUCAUUGAAACCGAUAAGGGACUAAUAAUAGUAGUAUCUCCAAACACGAAACGGAACCAAAGGUACAAUAUAUAAAACAUAAAAAUGUUCAUAUGAAUAAUAUAAAAAGAAAAUCGAAUAAACCGUAUAGAUUACGCAUGCACUGAAUGCCUUUAUAGAAAGCAGAUCAACUACAGAACAUCAUUACGGAUCGGAAUACAUAUCUAAUAGUCGUUCAUUCCCAGUCGGGUAAAAACGCCUUUCACAGAGUCUUCUACCCAGUAAAAGGGCUUAACUCCAAACAGGCGAUGUAUCUCAAGUUCAUUUGUUCAAAUAUGUUUAAUUUGGAUAAAAACUAAUUUCUUUUUGAAUCUAUAUAUAUUAUAAACCGAUUUUGAAUAUGAAACCAUGAAGCAAAUUAUUUCUCCAUUUCCAGAUUCACGUAAGCCCUAUUUUUUGGCUUAUUUUGAUAUCAGGGUACCAUUAAAUAUCCGCAAAUUUUGGAUCAAUAGGACAUACCCACGACAAAUUAACCUUUUUAAACGGUGUAGUAUUGUUGAAAGAUUAAUAAACACCGGUUCAAUUACUAUCUCAUUGUCUUUUAGAACUAUAAGUUGGUAUACUGACUAAAUUUUUUAACGAUAAUGUUUAAUUACACGCGACGAUCCAAAAUCAGUUCUACAAAGUCAAAUUUAAUUUGUGCCCUAGACAGAACAGAAAGUUAAAGUUUGUUUUUGGUUUAAAGUUUAUACUAUCAUCAGCAUGGCGUUUGUCUCUGGACUUGGGGGCGGCCAUGCUAAUGCCAGCUACUUUGAAACACGGAAAAACACCAUGGCUCAAAAAGAUGGUAAAGAUUGCGGCUGUAUAAACAUCAGUUUGGAGAGGCCAAAGAAAAAGUCCAAAAUACGCUUAAUGAAAGAACGGAUAAGACAGUUCAGUAUUUGGUUUUUCGAGAAUGAGGACCAUAAAGAAGUAGAACACGUAAGGCGGAGGUUAGAAAGGAAAAAGAAAAGGAAACUUUUAAAAAAGAGUCCUGAAUUCCGGCAUGUAUGUUGGCUGUAUGGUUUUGAUGUGAUUUUGUGGAUAGUUGGGUCUGUAUUUACCCUGUGCAGUACCGUCAAGGCUUUUGGUAAACACUACCGUGUUUUAUAAAUCUGGGCAGCUAUACCGUAUCCUGGGACCUGGGCUUCUUCUCGCUGCCGCGGUGGUUUUAUUCCUUGCAACUGGAUUGAAACACCGCAUGAAAACUAAGCACGAUAGACCACAGCGGAGCUUUUACAUUGUACAGAAAAACAAGAAGCAUUCUAAAUCCGACACUGAUAUAAAGGACCCGGAUAAUGAUUCGGGAAAUGAAGAAGAUAUCGAAAUGACUGAGUUUAGUUUAAAGAGAGAAAGUGACCUGAAAACUGGUCCAGAAGGGAAGCCUACCAAAGAAGCAAAAGUGCGCAAAUUGGGAGACAUGCCUAUAGGAGGCACAAUGUCUGGUGAAAAGUCGGAAAUUGUGUUUUAUAAUGAAGGCUUAAAACGCACACAGAACAGGAGAGCGUGGGCGAAAACUAAAUGGAUGAGAAUGGAAAGUAGGGUCAGGAGAUUCUUUCGAAAGUGAUGAUAUUUUAGAUCUGGUCCAUGACGAUCCUAGUAAAGAAGAAAACGAAUCGAGAGAAACGCAUGCUGAACUACCCUCGAAUGUGACGAAAAUGUCAACAAACAGGCGAAUAAUGCGGUUUAAACCUCUUUCCGGUGGAUGUUUUACGGCACAAUCUUCAAUCAGAUCCCAGGCGUCCGAAAUAUCUUUCGCUAGUACAACAUCCGAGUCAGCGCUGCUUGUCAGGAAGUGAUACAUACUUGUGAUAUAUAGACAACUUUAUCGCACAUCAGACCAUCAAUUUAACUCCACACAAAAUACACAGACUCGUUAUUAACUAAACAAUUUUAUGCUAUUUUCAUUAUUUUGAUAAUGGAUUACAAAUGCGCUGUUGUUUCUCCUAGUGACAUACACAGUGAAGCGUAACAGUACAAUGUUAUAUACCAGCUUCUAUAAGAUCACUGUGGCUGAAAAUGUCCUGCCAGACUUAAAAUUACUAUUGAACAUCGGAGUAUAAAAUAAAGAACGAUUUCAGUAAGAAAACUGCGUUCAUUGUGAUUGUUUUUUUUUUUCAUUUUGGCUUGAUUUGGGAAAACAAAGGGUUUUUAUCAAUUUGCUCAUAUCAUUUUCAUGUUCAUCCCAGGAUCAAUACUCGUGCCUGUUUACUCAGUGUGUCAUACAAACGUUUGCUCCCAUGACAUUUUUCGUUUCGUAUGUUGUUUUGGCACUAUGUCAUAAGAAUCAUAGUCAACUCUUAUUAUUAAACGGGAAUUGAAACUAUAAUAGCUAGCUAUAGCUGAAUUUACCGUGAUCUUGUACUAUAAUAGCUAGCUAUAGCUGAAUUUACCGUGAUCUUGUACUAUAAUAGCUAGCUAUAGCUGAAUUUACCGUGAUCUUGUACUAUAAUAGCUAGCUAUAGCUGAAUUUACCGUGAUCUUGUACUAUAAUAGCUAGCUAUAGCUGAAUUUACCGUGAUCUUGUACUAUAAUAGCUAGCUAUAGCUGAAUUUACUGUGAUCUUGUACUAUAAUAGCUAGCUAUAGCUGAAUUUACUGUGAUCUUGUACUAUAAUAGCUAGCUAUAGCUGAAUUUACCGUGAUCUUGUACUAUAAUAGCUAGCUAUAGCUGAAUUUACCGUGAUCUUGUACUAUAAUAGCUAGCUAUAGCUGAAUUUACCGUGAUCUUGUACUAUAAUAGCUAGCUAUAGCUGAAUUUACCGUGAUCUUGUACUAUAAUAGCUAGCUAUAGCUGAAUUUACUGUGAUCUUGUUUAGUUUGGACAAGGGCAAUAUACAACAUGGCUUACAGCAUACCACACAUUCAAAAGACAAAUACUACCAUUUUAUUCUAUCUAUGAUGAUGAAUUUCUGUAACACUGGCAAUACCAAAAUAACUAGGUAAGUAGAAUUGGUAAAUUCUACUAUGCCUUUAAUAAAAUACUUAUUUACGGAUGGAACAAUAACUGUAAUACUGAUAAUUAUCUAUUGCGUUCAACUUGUGUUUUAAAAUGUUACUGUACUUUGAUAUCAUUGCAAUUGCAGAAACACAUCUUUUAAAGGAUUCUAUUUUAGAAUUAGAAGGCUACCAAUUGGUUCAGUUUAAACCGUAAAUAAAUACAUAUUAUUAAGAAUACCAGAUAAAAUCUGGUGGUGUAGGGUUCGUAAAGAAUUGUCUUUCUGAUACUUUUGAUAUAGCUGUACUAGAUGAUACAGAUGAAGGUAUUGUGUGGUUCAUAAAGAAGACGGUAUCACCUUAUAACGGUGUGUUUGCUACCUCCCUCCACUCCUGAAAAUUCGUCUAGACAUUUUGAUGUUAAAGCAUUUUUGACAAGCUUUUAACAGAUAUAUACAAUUUUCAGAAUGAAGGGUUGGUGUAUUUAUGUGGUGAUUUUAAUAGCCGAUGUGGUGAUUUAGAUGACUUUAUAAGAGGUGGUGAUGAGGUACCAGAACGGGAUAUUGUUGAUUUUACUACCAAUGCUUAUGAUGAACUUUUUGAAUUUCUUGUAAAUUUAAAUUUUUGUAUUGUUAUUGGAAGAAAUAAAAUGAUUAUACCUCCAUAGGUCCUCUGUCGUUGAUUAUUCCAUAACUGGUCAAUACAGUUUACACACAUUUAAAGAUUUUUCUGUGAUACGUACAACAGAGUUAAUUAAUAACUCUGAUAACAUUUCACUUCUAGCAGGAAAAAGUAUGCCACAUCUUUUUAUGUUAAGUUGGAAAAUCACAGACGUUUGUUCCGACGCUUUUAAUGAAACUUUGCCUUUUGAACCUUAUGUUUGAUGUGACUGAUGAACCUGUUGAUUUUCUUAAAGACAAUGUUGUACAUGCAGAAGUAAAUGCUGUCAUUGAUAAGUUAGAGCAGAGCAUGAGAACCCAGGAUGACAUUGACUCCGGCAAUGAAUGAUGUGAUAUUUUAGAACAGAACAUGUAUAAUCAACUCCCAUACAAAACUGUUAGUUUUGGUUUAAAUAAUAAAAAACGACGACCAGUAAAACCUUGGUGGGUGGUCUGAAAGCCUUUAUGGUCUAAAGUUAGUAAUGCAGGGUCCAGUUGUUUGAAACUUUAACCGGCUAUUAAACUAACCGCCGGUUAAAUUUUGAUCCAAAAUAUUAGUUUUUUAUGGGAAACACUAGUAUAAUGGUUUGAUUUUAUUGUAAGGGCUUUUUAUUGUUCAUAAUCCUUAACUUAUAACUUUGUUUUUCUAAGUCUUCUAAAAUGUCGAAAUAUAACCCUAAAAGUUAAUCGACCAUUAGCUUAAUUGCCUGUUAAAGUUUCGAACAACUGAACGCUUGUAAAGAGUAAGCAAAGGGCAGAAGAAAUAAGAUAUAAAUGUUAAUAUUCGCAAAUUGUUUGACCGUGAUGUGCAAAGAGCUAAACGUUAGUACUGGUAUGAUAUGCAACAAGAACUUCUUACUGGGUGCAACGUAGAUAAUACUACAUUUUGGAAAAUAUUGGGAAAAUUGGUGUUUGGCAUUGUAAAAAAAAAGUAAACUUAAUGAAGUUGUUUUGAAUAACUGUAAUAUUUUUUGUUCACUUUUUGAUGUACUUUAUAAAUGACAAUCAGACUUUAGCUCUUUGUCCAAUAAUGUGACAGUGUUUCUAGUUCUAAUCAUGCUUCUGAUUUAAACGGUACUAGUGAAGUAUUUUUACCAUUUAAUGAGUCUAUUUAUAUCAUUAAAGUGAAAAAGGCUGUUGGUAAAGCUAAAUAUGGUAAAGCCCAGUGUCCAGAUAACAUACCCUCAGAAGUUUUGAAAAAGAGCAAUUUUAUAAUUACUUCACUUUAUAGUAUGUUUUAGUAAUGGCAUUGUACCCUCUUUAUGAGGAAAGUCUAUUAUCAACCCUAUUCCUAAAUCAGGCUCGACAGACCCCAUAGAUCCAUUAUCUUAUAGAGGGAUAGCACUCGCGUCUUCCAUGUAUAAAAUUUACUGUACUAUACUUAAUGAUCGGUUGAAUGUUAUGGUGGAAAGUAGCGACAAGCUUAUGGAUGAGCAGAAUGGUUUUAGGAAAAAAUGUAAUUACAAAUUUUUGCACUUACUAAUUUGUACACGAUUGGGCAUACUCUAUUAACAGAAACGAUAGCAUAUCUGGUAGAGGACAGAACAAACUCAGAACGUACUGUAUUCUGAAAUUUAGUUUUGUUGUAGAAAAUUAUUGUAAAAUGAUAAUGCCGUUGCAACACGGGUCAGCAUUUUGUAAAUUUCGCUGUGGUGUAGCACCUAUAAGGUUGGAAACAGGCCGGUACGAAAAUCUAAGUUUAGAAGAUUGGAAGUGUCCGUUUUGUAAUGUUAUAGAAACAGGGAAACAUGUCAUUCUUAAUUGUAUAAUGAUUUGAGGGAGACUUUAUUCCAUCAUGCAUUGAAUGCCAAACCUGAUUUCCUUGCUUUAUAGAAACUGAAUAGUUUAUUGUGUUGUUCACAUAUCCAACAUUAGUUAGGAGAUGCGCCAAAACCUGUACAUAGUGACAUUUUUAAGUAGAAGACAAAUUACCUUUGUAAAUACUGCUGGGUGCACUUAUUUACCUCUAUACAAAGUGCUAUGGUUCUUUUAUUUAUAUGAUAGUUUAAUUUCAUGUUUGAUAUUUGCUGAAGAUUUGAUCGAGAUGUUAACACUUUUCGUAGAUCUACAACCAAUUUGGUUUUAGUAUUAUGAAUUUGGCUGUUUUCUUAUACUCUGUUUUAUGGGCUAAUCGCAGUAGUAUGUCUUAACUCAGAUUAGCAACUACAUCUUUGCUGUAACAUUGUGUUUUAAAUGUGCUUCUAUAAUAAUUUUUAAGUAAUAUUGAUAUGUUUACAGUUAUGUCUCUUAUAACUCUUGUUAUGCAGUGGCAGUGUGCAUUUUAUACCGAUAUUUUAUUAUAUAUAUUAUGUAAUAUAUGCUGUACACUGAUGAGACAGAAAUAAGGAAUAUAUAUAUUCUAAAAUGUUUGAUGUUAAUGUUAACGAGCAAGUUAUUGUAUGCUUUCUUCGCUUAAAUAUAUACUACAUGUACUGUAA